rnacentral:rRNA from 1 species
UACGUAGGGCGCAAGCGUUAUCCGGAAUUAUUGGGCGUAAAGAGCUCGUAGGCGGUUUGUCGCGUCUGCUGUGAAAGACCGGGGCUCAACUCCGGUUCUGCAGUGGGUACGGGCAGACUAGAGUGCAGUAGGGGAGACUGGAAUUCCUGGUGUAGCGGUGAAAUGCGCAGAUAUCAGGAGGAACACCGAUGGCGAAGGCAGGUCUCUGGGCUGUAACUGACGCUGAGGAGCGAAAGCCAGGGGAGCAAACGGG